GUUGUAAAGCACUUUAAGCGAGGAGGAGGCUACUUUAGUUAAUACCUAGAGAUAGUGGACGUUACUCGCAGAAUAAGCACCGGCUAACUCUGUGCCAGCAGCCGCGGUAAUACAGAGGGUGCGAGCGUUAAUCGGAUUUACUGGGCGUAAAGCGUGCGUAGGCGGCUUAUUAAGUCGGAUGUGAAAUCCCCGAGCUUAACUUGGGAAUUGCAUUCGAUACUGGUGAGCUAGAGUAUGGGAGAGGAUGGUAGAAUUCCAGGUGUAGCGGUGAAAUGCGUAGAGAUCUGGAGGAAUACCGAUGGCGAAGGCAGCCAUCUGGCCUAAUACUGACGCUGAGGUACGAAAGCAUGGGGAGCAAACAGGAUUAAAACCCCCGGUAGAGAGAUGGAGGG
rnacentral:rRNA from 1 species